rnacentral:rRNA from 1 species
GACGAACGCUGGCGGCGUGCUUAACACAUGCAAGUCGAACGAAAAGGCCCUGCUUUUGUGGGGUGCUCGUGUGGCGCACGGGUGAGUGACACGUGUGUAACCUGCCCCUGUCUUUGUGAUAACUUCUGGGGACUGGGGCUCUUACCCGAUAGGAUCUCCUGCUGCAUGUUGGUGGUUGGAAAGUUUCGGCGGUUGGGGCUGGACUCGCGGCUUCUCCGCUUGUUUGUGUGGUAGGUGCUGACAAAGCCUUUGACGGGUAGCCUGCCUGAGAGGGGUAACGGCGACAUUGGGACUGAGAUACGGCCCAGAAUCCUACGGGAGGCAGCAGGGGGGAAUAUUGCGGAAUGGGCGGAAGCCUGAGGCAGCAGCGCCGCGUGCGGGAUGACGGCCUUCGGGUUGUAAACAGCUUUCGACGGUGACGAAGCGUGAGUGACGGUAAUGGGUAAAGAAGCACCGGCUAACUACGUG